rnacentral:rRNA from 1 species
AUCGAACGCUGGCGGCAGGCCUAACACAUGCAAGUCGAGCGGAUGAAGGGAGCUUGCUCCUGGAUUCAGCGGCGGACGGGUGAGUAAUGCCUAGGAAUCUGCCCGGUAGUGGGGGAUAACGUCCGGAAACGGGCGCUAAUACCGCAUACGUCCUGAGGGAGAAAGUGGGGGUUCUUCGGACCUCACGCUAUCAGAUGAGCCUAGGUCGGAUUAGCUAGUUGGUUGGGUAAAGGCCUACCAAGGCGACGAUCCGUAACUGGUCUGAGAGGAUGAUCAGUCACACGGGAACUGGGACACGGUCAAGACUCCUACGGGAGGCAGCAGUGGGGAAUAUUGGACAAUGGGCGAAAGCCUGAUGCAGCCAUGCCGCGUGUGUGAAGAAGGUCUUCGGAUUGUAAAGCACGUUAAGUUGGGAGAAAGGGCAGUAAGUUAAUACCUUGCUGUUUUGACGUUACCAACAGAAUAAGCACCGGCUAACUUCGUG